AUUUAGCUGUAAAUAAAAUGACCCACAUGAUGACCUUUCACCUGAUUCCUCACGCUGCACGCGCAUUUUUUAAUUUCGCGCGGCUACGCGCAAUCGCGCAUUCCCAGAGGAUAGCUUCAACUCUUGCGGCUGCUGUCUCAGAUCAACUCCAGCAGUAUCAGCAGCAGUAACAACAUCAACAGCAAAGGCAGCAAACUCACUUAAUGACUUGAGUAAGAAUUUACCAGAACAGGCAUCACAUUAAUGUUAAAAAUCUUGUAAAGUAUUAAUUGCUGUUUCUGUUUGCUUUGUUUUUUAUUUUCAUUGUAUAAAAUGUAACUCUUGUAUUUUUGUAAAUCACUUUUUGCCAUGAAAAUAGCCACAGAUGCUGAUAUGCCAUUAAAUAAAACCAUACUGUACUGCA